UACGAAGGGGGCGAGCGUUGUUCGGAUUUACUGGGCGUAAAGGGCGCGCAGGCGGCUCAUUUUGUCAGGCGUGAAAGCCCCGGGCUUAACCUGGGAGGUGCGUUUGAUACGGAUGGGCUAGAGUUCGGGAGAGGAGAGUGGAAUUCCCAGUGUAGAGGUGAAAUUCGUAGAUAUUGGGAAGAACACCGGUGGCGAAGGCGGCUCUCUGGACCGAGACUGACGCUGAGGCGCGAAAAGCGUGGGGAGCAAACAGGG
rnacentral:rRNA from 1 species